GACAGAGGGUGCAAACGUUGCUCGGAAUUACUGGGCGUAAAGGGCGUGUAGGCGGGAAGGCAAGUCGGGCGUGAAAUCCCCAGGCUCAACCUGGGAACUGCACUCGAAACUGCCUUUCUUGAGUGUCGGAGAGGAAAGCGGAAUUCCUGGUGUAGAGGUGAAAUUCGUAGAUAUCAGGAGGAACACCAGUGGCGAAGGCGGCUUUCUGGACGGAUAACUGACGCUGGAGACGCGAAAGCGUGGGGAGCAAACAGG
rnacentral:rRNA from 1 species